rnacentral:lncRNA from 1 species
AACGCUGCAACUUGGGUAAUCAACGCCAACGCUCAGGAUUAGAACGUGAGGGACGGAUCAUAUGGUUCAGAUGCUAGCCAAGUCAUCGCCGGAGCCAAAGCUCCAGUCAUCUUCUCCGGUGGACCUCACCGGACUGGUCAACCAUGAACCAUCACCAUAAUGAAAAACAAGGACAUGAUCUUGAAAAAAAAAUGGCAUUGAGCUCGAAUCUGACCUCCAUUCGCUCCAAUUCCAAAU